UGGGUCUGUAGCUCAGGUGGUUAGAGGCGCACCCCUGAUAAGGGUGAGGUCGGUGGUUCGAGUCCACUCAACCCACC
rnacentral:tRNA from 1 species